UACGUAGGUGGCAAGCGUUGUCCGGAAUUAUUGGGCGUAAAGCGCGCGCAGGCGGUCCUUUAAGUCUGAUGUGAAAGCCCACGGCUCAACCGUGGAGGGUCAUUGGAAACUGGGGGACUUGAGUACAGAAGAGAAGAGUGGAAUUCCACGUGUAGCGGUGAAAUGCGUAGAGAUGUGGAGGAACACCAGUGGCGAAGGCGACUCUUUGGUCUGUAACUGACGCUGAGACACGAAAGCCAGGGGAGCAAACGGG
rnacentral:rRNA from 1 species